rnacentral:rRNA from 1 species
AUUGAACGCUGGCGGCAUGCCUUACACAUGCAAGUCGAACGGUAACAGGUCUUCGGAUGCUGACGAGUGGCGAACGGGUGAGUAAUGCAUCGGAACGUGCCCGAUCGUGGGGGAUAACGAGGCGAAAGCUUUGCUAAUACCGCAUACGAUCUACGGAUGAAAGCAGGGGACCGCAAGGCCUUGCGCGGACGGAGCGGCCGAUGGCAGAUUAGGUAGUUGGUGGGAUAAAAGCUUACCAAGCCGACGAUCUGUAGCUGGUCUGAGAGGACGACCAGCCACACUGGGACUGAGACACGGCCUAGACUCCUACGGGAGGCAGCAGUGGGGAAUUUUGGACAAUGGGCGAAAGCCUGAUCCAGCCAUGCCGCGUGCAGGAUGAAGGCCUUCGGGUUGUAAACUGCUUUUGUACGGAACGAAAAGCCUCUUUCUAAUAAAGAGAGGUCAUGACGGUACCGUAAGAAUAAGCACCGGCUAACUACGUGCCAGCCGCCGCAGUAAAAC